AGCAGCCACCUUUUAAAACGCGUCAAAGCGUAACCUUAGCCCCCAAAAUACCAUUAAUUUUCAUGAACCCUUAAUUUAUAAUGAAUGACUCCAUAUUUAUAUGGAAGACACCAUGCUAGGAUUAGUAACAAGAAUUUAUAAUUCUCCAAAAUGCAAAUAUAAACCAACAUGGAUGGACCAUUGGUAGUUACCGAACCUAAAUUCAAUGCAAUAACACCCACAAGAAAACUCUGCAGUACUCACUCGUUAACCUAACACCAGCGCAUUACAGGAAAGAUUUAAAAAAAGAGAAGGAAUUCGGCAAAUGACGGCCCCGCCUGUUUACCAAAAACAUCGCCUCUUGACUUAUAAUAAGAGGUCCAGCCUGCCCAGUGAAUUUUAAACGGCCGCGGUAUCCUGACCGCGCGAAGGUAGCAUAAUCACUUGUUCUUUAAAUGGGGACUCGUAUCAACGGCAUCACGAGGGUUUUACUGUCUCCUCUUUUUGAUCAGUGAAAUUGAUCUUCCCGUGAAGAAGCGGGAAUAAAUUUAUAAGACGAGAAGACCCCAUGGAGCUUUAAACCAAAUAACAACUUAACCACUUACCCCAUAAUAAAUUUAAGCCCUGUUAUAAGGUUUUUGGUUGGGGUGACCGCGGAGUAAAGCAUAUCCUCCACGACGAAAAGAACAGAAUCUUUAUUUAAGAACCACACUUCUAGAAAUUAGUAUACUAACGUUUACUGACCCGACAAUCGAUCAACGGACCAAGUUACCCUGGGGAUAACAGCGCAAUCUACUUCAAGAGCUCAUAUCGACAAGUAGGCUUACGACCUCGAUGUUGGAUCAGGGUAUCCCGGUGGUGCAGCCGCUACCGAAGGUUCGUUUGUUCAACGAUUAAAACCCUACGUGAUCUG
rnacentral:rRNA from 1 species